rnacentral:rRNA from 1 species
UACGGAGGAUGCAAGCGUUAUCCGGAAUGAUUGGGCGUAAAGCGUCCGCAGGUGGCUGUGUAAGUCUGCUGUUAAAGAGUCUAGCUCAACUAGAUAAAGGCAGUGGAAACUACACGGCUAGAGUGCGUUCGGGGCAGAGGGAAUUCCUGGUGUAGCGGUGAAAUGCGUAGAGAUCAGGAAGAACACCGGUGGCGAAGGCGGUUCUCUGGGAAUGACCUGACGCUGAGGAGCGAAAGUGUGGGGAGCGAACAGG